ensembl:lincRNA
ACGAGCCCCGUCAUGGCCCGCGCACAGAACGACGGCAUCGAGGGCAGCCGGGGGCACAGCGGGCGGCACAGCUGCAGGUUCGAGGCCAUCCGUGGGGACUCCUGGCGCCGGGGCUCCUACUACCCCCGCAUCUCGCAACUCCCCCCCCGCCCGUUCGUGGGGCCCCUGCGGGACGUCGCCACCCAGACUCAGGCCCCGGGCGCCCUGGGCGGCGUGCCCACCUGCGCCGCGCCCCCCGCCCGGCCAGGGGGAGCCCCUGGGGGCACCAGCAGAGCCAGCACAGGAGAAGAGGGGGCCGCACGGGGGCCGCAGACGGUCGGCGAGGACAGGCCUCUGCCCGACCUGCUGCUGGGGAGGAGCCAGGGCCCCGCGGACCGCGGCGCGUCGGAGGACGAGCUGUCGGGGAGGGUGGCGGAGCAGCUGAGGAUCAUCGGGGACGAAAUGAACGCCAUCUACCUGCGGAGGAGGGUGGGUGCCAGACCGGGCUAGCCCAGGAGGGGGAGGGGAUUCUGACCCGAGAUCUGCUCUUACAUUACCAUGGGUUUUUCUGCAACCGCCUUCGCCGCGGCGCCCAGACCCCGGCAAGCUUUACAGCACUCCUGUACACAAAGGGUGGUGGGGGUGUGGAACUUUCAGGCUGCUGCUGCCCGAGGGCCCCAGAUCAGUCAUCUGCUGCAAAAGCAAGCGAGCGAGAUGGGCCGGGGCGCCCUCCUCUCCUUUUCUCGCUGUCCCCGCUCGGGUUCUCGUGCCUCUCCGGCAGAGUCUCGGGGAGGGAGGCCUCCGCGCGCCAGCACGCGAGCGAGCGAGAGUGAUGUCAGCCCGGCGCGGAGCUGGGGGGGGGCGGCCGGGAUAAGCCAGUGUUUACUCACUCAGCUGGCACAGGGGCUUCUCACGCGAUGCCUGUCUGCCGCCCGGGGCGGGGCUGGAUACGCUGCCUCAGUUGCGACACUCGACCAGCAGCGACUGAUUUGCUGUUUAUCUUUCCGCCGAGCUUGAAGGCGAGGGAGACAGAGAGACAGCCCGACAUGGCACACGGCCAGACCCAUGGAGAACUCCACUGUAUUUAUUUAUUUAUAUAUUUUAAAGUAAUAUAUAUAUAUUUUAAAAUGAGCAUCCUAAAAAAUAAGCAGUACUUCCCUUUCUCCCUCUUUGUCCAAGGUAUAAGCUACUCAAAGCCAAACUACUCCAGAUGUCGUUGGUGUCUCUGUGUGCUCCGUUUUGUGCAGGGUGUUCUGCGCCACCCUGCCUGUGUCAAAACUAAUUCAAGUUAGUAAGGCAGGGCUGUCUGUUUUGCCCUUAUGCAAAACCGUAAUGUUUAGAAGGUUCAUACAAUAGUAAAAACCACUGCACAGGGGUUUCUAAAGAGGGGUGUAAAUGCUCUUGCCUGUGUGGGUUUUCAAAAUUUCAACAAGUGCUCCUCAGUGGAUUAAAGGCAAGAAGUUUAACCAACACACAGUGUUGUUGCUGCUUCGCACUUCCUGGCACGAGCACAGCACUUUGCUUCUACAGCUGUGUGGCUGGUGACGAGGAGCCAGAAGGCACAGAGACGUCGUAAGGCGUUAUUUACAAAAAGGGAGAAAAAAAAGGGCUGAUUAACUUCCUCCUUCAGCUCAACAACUGAAACCAACCCGCAGGACUGGAAAGACGGGCACGAGAUCGCAUUCUCCCGCCCCCCCCCUCUCUAUCGCUUGUCUGUCUCCGCCUGCUGUCUCUCUGUCUGUCUGUGACCUCCUCCGCCCUCUCCCCCAGCCCCUCCCGCGCCUCUCUCUUCCCUGUGUCUGUCGGGCUGCUUGUCUGCGUCCGCCGCGCUCUCGGUCUCCUGCCCUGGUGUUUAAAAGCGAGCUGCUAUUUUAAGCCGGUGAGUCAGAGCAGCUGCUGUCGUGUGGCGCGACGCGUCUCCUGACUCCUGGCGCACAGAUCGCUCCUCACAGCGCUAAGGCACGCACGCGCACACACACACACACAGACACCUGCCUGUCUGGCUCUCUCAGUUUCCAUGUAGUGUCUGGUGGUUAUCAGUGUCGAAGCGGUGGAAAAGUACGAUGAUAUGCACAAUGAUGUGCAAUAAAAGGAACGGACAGGUGCUUCCAAGACAGAAGUCAGAGAGUUUUUUUUUCUGUUUGUGUUUUGCCUGGGGAAGAGGAUGUACUUGUGUCACGUUUAAACAGUGGCACACAGUAGGUAAUCAAUUUAAAUAACCAAAGGGUGUCACCUAUGGGUGUAAAAAAAAACGGUAAAUCUACAGUGCUUGUGGUCUAACACUCCAAAGUUUGUGCUAGGCAUCAUUAAAUGCAGUUUAGAUUGACCAGUUUAUUGGCCCUAUACAAUUUCUUGCAUUAGGAAUGUGUCUUUUCGCAGACCCCAGCUUGUUCUCCAUGAGACACACAGACAGGGAGAGAAGCUGGGGGUCAGAGCACAGGGUCAGCUAUUUAUACGGCGCCCCUGGAGCAGCUGGGGUUAAGGGCCUCGCUCAGGGGCCCAACGGAGUAGGAUUCCUCUGCUGGCUGCGGGAUUUGAACCUGCAACCUUCCAGCCACAGGCGCAGAUCCUGAGCCACAGAGCCACUGCUCCGCCCGAUGCCACUCCCUAGAUGGCAAACAGAUCGCCCAGCUCUCUCUCCUCACACUUCUCGUUUAAUAACAUCAGUCCUGCUCGUCGACAGUUUCGAUACUUGACCAAGGCUGGGUGAAGGGUGUACAUUGGAUUGAGCAAAACCCCCUGCCCGCCAGCUUCCAAAAUAGUCCACAUGCCAGCCAGUCCCGCACCCUUCCACAAACGUGCUUCGAAUACCGACCUUCUGCGUGAGGGUCUGCAAGUCGCAUUCCUGCACGAUGAAACAAGAGACGAACCAGAUGCCUUCCGUUUCACGCCUGGUGUUGCCUCACUGACAUUUUACUUCUGCAAGUAGACAGACUCAGACAGAUACAGCGGUUUAUCUGCUGUAUGUACAUGUACACAUGAAUCACACUGAUCUCCCCGGACAUGCACAGAGCAACAGACAGCACACCACACAAUCUAAACAGUACAUUACAAAACAGUUCAU